rnacentral:lncRNA from 1 species
AAGUUUCAGAUCCCAUUCUAUAAGUGAAAAAGAUACAUUUUGCACUCCUUUAUGCUAUUUAUAGUUCCCCAAAGCAUCAUCAAAUUUCUUAGUUGGCAAUGUUAGUCGUUCUCACCGACUUGUUCUUCUUCUCGCCGACUUCUUCUUCUUCUUGCCUUUCUUAGUUUCAGGCUUCAAGGGUUUAAACCAUAAUUGGCGAGCUCGAUGGAGUUCACCGUUCAUAUUUGGUGAGUAGUCGAUUAUCAUCCAAUCUCGUCUUUUUGGCAUUUCGGCAAGCACUCGUUAAUUCACCGAUUGAGUUCGGUGAGUCGGCGUUUAGCUCUUCUUCUCACCAACCUAUCUUUAACAAUUGAGUUAAUGACUCGAUAAUUUUUUUGAGAUCUAGAAAAUUUAGUGAU